rnacentral:rRNA from 1 species
AUGCACGCUGGCGGCGUGCCUCAUACAUGCCAGUCGCGCGAACAGACGAGGAGCUUGCUCCUCUGACGUUAGCGGCGGACGGGUGAGUAACACGUGGAUAACCUACCUAUAAGACUGGGAUAACUUCGGGAAACCGGAGCUAAUACCGGAUAAUAUAUUGAACCGCAUGGUUCAAUAGUGAAAGACGGUUUUGCUGUCACUUAUAGAUGGUUCCGCGCCGCAUUAGCUAGUUGGUAAGGUAACGGCUUACCAAGGCAACGAUGCGUAGCCGACCUGAGAGGGUGAUCGGCCACACUGGAACUGAGACACGGUCCAGACUCCUACGGGAGGCAGCAGUAGGGAAUCUUCCGCAAUGGGCGAAAGCCUGACGGAGCAACGCCGCGUGAGUGAUGAAGGUCUUCGGAUCGUAAAACUCUGUUAUUAGGGAAGAACAAAUGUGUAAGUAACUAUGCACGUCUUGACGGUACCUAAUCAGAAAGCCACGGCUAACUACGUG